UGAAAAACCAUGCCAGGUGCGGUGGUAAGAUGGGGGUCCGCUCUCCACUUUUUCCCUUUCUCUUCCUAGAGUCAACCUAAUCAAAGACACCCAGCUGUCUCGCACACCUUCCAGCAAAUGCAGGAAAUACCUACAGGAUGUUUAAUCUUACCUGUUAAAACCAUCUGAUUAUUUUAUAGACACCACAAUCUGAGGGCAGACCACCAAGAAGGCCUCUUUUUUAUCCUUCUACCUUGAGCUUCCAGUGUUGGAAACCCCAACCCCAUCUGGAAAAACCAGACCAGGUCCAAAGACUGACAGUCAGCACCAGGAGUAGUGGGUCCCUGGAGUCAAGAGAAAGAGAGAUUAAAGAGAGAGAGAGAGGAGGGAGGGGGAGAGAGAGAGAGAGAGGGAGAUUACAGGGGAGGAGGCUUCUCUGCGAAGGGGAUGGGAGAAGGAGAGACUGAGACCUGGCCUCAGUGAGAGAAUCUGGGGGAGUAGAAACUACUAGAAGAAACAGGAGUUUCCUGUAUCUCCAGUGCUAGAAGUAAAAGGCUGUUUUGUACAUUCUUUCAGACUGUGUGAACUUGCCCUAAUUGGUAAGGUCAGGCAGUAAGACUACUUGGGGACAAGUACAGAACUAUUCCCUCCUUUUUGGAAUAUGAAUACAAUGUAUCAGUCAGGGUGCUGGCUAGAAAUAGAUGACACACUUAAUGGGUUUCACUGAAGAGUUUAAUAGAGGGACUCUUUUCAGAGGGGUGGACAGGAUUGAGAGACCCAUCAAAGGCUAGUAAAGUACCCAGGGAUUAAUGACAGCUAAAAUCUAUUACCACUGCAGGCCUGAAGAGACAAGGGAAAGGCACGGUGUCACCAGAGACUGGGCAGCUACAGCUGUGGAAAAGAGACAACCUGGCAGUACCUGUGGCCAUAGAGGGUGGUAGGAAACCAAUUCCUCUUUCCCUCUUCCCAUUACCAGGAGCAGUGCUUCUCUUUGGCCAUUCCCAAUAAGAAGCCACAGAAUAAGGGAGGACAGGGCAUGCAGACCUUGGAAAUCAUCCUUGUAAGAUACAGAGGAGGGCAGAGGAAAGGCAGAUUAUGGAUCUGUGGUGAGAGGAUAAACCCAGCAUAUGUAGUGCACUACAGUUAUCACAGUGAUUGUUCUCUACUCUGAAUCCCAUAGCACGUAUUGCUAAAACCCUCAUUUCAAUUUUCAACGACCAUCUCCUGAGUGCUUCCCAAAAGUACUAGAUGCUUGGGCAUGAUACACAAAUUAACCACACACGGCCCCUUUAGGAGCUCAAAUCUGGUGGGCAACCUUUGGACAUAGAAUUUGCUGCUUUAUAUUGUGUUUUAUCUUUUCUAGUGGGUGCGGUGGGUUGGAUCUUUAUAGAUUACAAGAGCAGAGAAGUUUUCAAGUCUGAUGUGAUGGGAGUUCUACAUCAGGCUCCACAUCAAAUUAGAAUCUUAGUCCAGAUACUGUGGCAAAUGUAGUGACACCAUAGCAGGUUUCGUAACUAUCGCAUGUAACUCAGAUGAUGGUGUCGCUCUGCUUCCUACUUUUGUCUGACUCCCAUUCUUGUAACCUGACUUUCUCUGCCUGCUCACUGCUGACCCUCUUUGUAUGUCUCACUUUCAGAUUCCCUGAAAGAGGAUUAAAUUGGGCCAGUUUAUCCUUCUCUGUUCCUAUUGGGCAGAGUUCUGCUACAAGCCAUCUUAAAUGGCAAUGCUUUGCUUUAUGUCCAGUCUAUAGAUGAGCAGCUUUGUCCUGAGUAGCCAGAUCACAUGAGACAAGUACGGCAACUGUCAUGAACAUCUGUCAUUCGCAGCUGCCCGAAAUCUUCCAAAUAGUCUAUCUUCGUUAUCAUAGUUCCUCAGUAGAAAUCCUGCCUUCUCAAUGUAGAACCCCAAACUCCCUUUCCAAGAUUUCCUUCUUGUUAGGGUGCAUACGAGUGAUGUAGAUUCCACUACCUAGACUCAAGCAUUUGUUUCAAGAUGGAGUUACAUGGGGAAGGAGGGAGAGUACAGGGCCUGCAUUUUGCAGGUGCAGAUCCUGGCAAAGAUGGUGUGGUUCUGGAGCCGGUGAAGUGAACCACAGAAACCAAAGAAGCAAUGGACAUUCACAUCUGCACUUACUCUAUAUCCCAGUUCCAGAUAACUUUUUCUUUCUCUGAGGAUGAGGACUUCAUGGAGACAAAAGGCCAUCAAAAUAGUUGCUGACAUCCUGCAGCCAGAGAAAAUGUUUCAAAAAUGCAGAUUGGAUCAUUACCCUCCAAAGACUUUCUUGUGCCUCUGCUAUAGCCAAGGGAAGUCAGGAGUGAGCUCUCCUGUUGUUCUAGGAAGAGGAUGAGAGACAGGUAAGGCAGGUCCCAGUGCAUAGCUAGGGCCAGCAUACAUCACUGACUCCCAGCUGACCGAGAGAUACAUUGAGCUUGCCCAGCCCAGCCCACAUCAGCUG
rnacentral:lncRNA from 1 species